GGUCCUACGGGGGGCAGCAGUGAGGAAUAUUGGUCAAUGGUCGGGAGACUGAACCAGCCAAGCCGCGUUAGGGAUGAAGGUACAGAGUAUCGUAAACCUCUUUUGUCAGGGAACAAAGGCGGGUACGCGUCCCCGGAUGAGUGUACCUGAAGAAAAAGCAUCGGCUAACUCCGUGCCAGCAGCCGCGGUAAUACGGAGGAUGCGCGCGUUAUCCGGAUUUAUUUGGUUUUAAGGGUGCGCAGGCGGUCUGUUUAGUCAUC
rnacentral:rRNA from 1 species